UACGUAGGGGGCGAGCGUUGUCCGGAGUUACUGGGCGUAAAGCGCACGCAGGCGGUCUGCUAAGUUUGGAGUGACAGUUGGUGGCUUAACUGGCAAAGUGCUUCGAAAACUGACAGACUUGAGGGCUUCAGAGGGACACGGAAUUCCGGGUGGAGUGGUGAAAUGCGUAGAGAUCCGGAGGAACACCAAAGGCGAAGGCAGUGUCCUGGGGAGUACCUGACGCUCAGGUGCGAAAGCCAGGGGAGCGAACGGG
rnacentral:rRNA from 1 species